rnacentral:rRNA from 1 species
AGCGGCCGCGGUAAUUCCAGCUCCAAUAGCGUAUAUUAAAGUUGUUGCAGUUAAAAAGCUCGUAGUUGAAUUUCGGGAUCAAUACGUCGGUCGUGCUUCGGUACGUACUGGCGUAAUUGAUUUCUCCCUUCUGACGAACCAUGAUGUCAUUAACUUGGUGUCAUGGGAAAUCAGGACUGUUACUUUGAAAAAAUUAGAGUGUUUAAAGCAGGCUUUAGCUUGAAUACAUUAGCAUGGAAUAAUGAAAUAGGACGUUUGAUCCUAUUUUGUUGGUUUCUAGGAUUGACGUAAUGAUUAAUAGGGAUAGUUGGGGGCAUUAGUAUUCAAUUGUCAGAGGUGAAAUUCUUGGAUUUAUUGAAGACUAACUACUGCGAAAGCAUUUGCCAAGGAUGUUUUCAUUAAUCUAAGAACGAAAGUUAGGGAUCGAAGACGAUCAGAUACCGUCGUAGU